AGUUUACCUUACCUGGUGCUGAACAUGACAGUCAUGGUAGAAAAUUCAUUCAAACAUAUUUCACAUGAAACAUUUUAUUAUUUUCAUUGAUAUUAGGAAAAAAGAAGUAGCAAAGACGCUGGAAUUUAAAAAAAAAGUGCGAUCUUCUUUUAUGCACGCAGAUCGUAAGUAUGAAGAUAGAUAGCAAGUGAAGUAACUUUCUUGUGUUUGGUAAAGCAGACGAAAUCGUAAGGGAAACACCCCCUCAACGUUCAAUGUCUUACUUUAAAAAAUCCAUUUUUGUGUCUUAAUUUCUCUUAAAUAUAAAAAACUGAAAUAGAUAUAGAGCGAAAGCGGACAAAACGUCUAUUUCUACGAACCCAAAAGCAAUGCAUGAUUAAUUUGAUGAUCAUAUUUAAUAAACGUACCCAAGUUCAGAAGUUUCUUUAUCUUCAGCAUUGAUUAUAUCCAUAAGUAUGGAAAGGUAAACAUGUAUUUGUGAUUAAAAGAACAUAAUUUUAGAAUUGUAUUUUUGAUAUCUUAACAGAAACAUGAACAAUUAUGAGAAGUUUGAGGAAAAUCGUGAACCAGAACCUGCCCCAGAAUUAAGAGUAACGUCAGAAUAUGCUGGGAAUCAAGACAGUACUGGUGAUGUACAAAUCAAAGUGGAGGACAACACAGCAAGUGACGGGCGGCUUCAAAUUUAUAAAUCUGAAGCAAAAGAUGACGUUGAUUAUGUGGAGGAUCCUGGGUCAAAAGAAAUUCCCAAGACUGGAAUUGAGUAAGAUGGAUGCUCUUUGCGUGGAGAGAAAUGAAUAAAAAUAAGCAUGAAAUUAGAAAAAGAUAGAAACAUAAAAAAAUGUUUUAUUUUCUUAGGAGAUAUAAUUGCAGUGUAUAUUAAUGCUUAAACUAAGAUCAUUAUUUCCAGACAUUAUUAAAACACUCUUAACUUGAAAUCUUAAAAAGAAUAGGAUAUCAUAGUUUAAUAUAAUUUAUGUUUCAUUUACUUAUGGUCUUUUGCACAGCAUUAUGAUUUAAUUAUAUGUGUUUGAAUUUUUUAGGGGAUUGCAGUGGAUUGUAAAAAGUGUCCUUGAACACAUUGCCUUCAGACUCAUCACUGUUGUCCUGAUUCUUUUGGACUUCAUUUUUGUUAUUGUGGAAUUAGCAGACGAUGAUUGCAACAGUAACAAAGGGAAAGGGACUUUAGAACUUUUAUCCCAUAUUCUGAUCAGCUACUUCAUGCUAGAAGUAUUUUUCAGAAUAUUUUACCAAGGGUAUACAUAUUUAUAUACAUUGUACACUAAAAAGUUAAU
rnacentral:misc_RNA from 1 species